rnacentral:rRNA from 1 species
AGCAGUAGCCACGGGAAUACGAAGGGGGCUAGCGUUGCUCGGAAUGACUGGGCGUAAAGGGCGCGUAGGCGGAUUGUUUAGUUAGGCGUGAAAUUCCUGGGCUUAACCUGGGGACUGCGCUUAAUACAGGCAGUCUAGAGUGAGGAAGAGGGUUGUGGAAUUCCCAGUGUAGAGGUGAAAUUCGUAGAUAUUGGGAAGAACACCGGUGGCGAAGGCGGCAACCUGGUCCUUGACUGACGCUGAGGCGCGAAAGCGUGGGGAGCAAACAGGAUUAGAUACCCCAGUAGUCCCUGUCUCUUAUAC